GUGGCUAUGGCGCAGUUGGUUAGCGCGCCAGAUUGUGGUUCUGGAGACCGUGGGUUCGAGUCCCACUAGCCACCCUA
rnacentral:tRNA from 4 species